GUGCCAGCAGCCGCGGUAAUACGAAGGUGGCAAGCGUUGUUCGGAUUUACUGGGCGUACAGGGAGCGUAGGCGGUUGGAUAAGCCCUCCGUGAAAUCUCCAGGCUUAACCUGGAAAGUGCAGAGGGGACUGUUCAGCUAGAGGAUGGGAGAGGAGCGCGGAAUUCCCGGUGUAGCGGUGAAAUGCGUAGAGAUCGGGAGGAAGGCCGGUGGCGAAGGCGGCGCUCUGGAACAUUUCUGACGCUGAGGCUCGAAAGCGUGGGGAGCAAACAGGAUUAGAUACCCCCGUAGUCC
rnacentral:rRNA from 1 species